rnacentral:rRNA from 1 species
UACGAAGGGGGCUAGCGUUGCUCGGAAUUACUGGGCGUAAAGCGCACGUAGGCGGCUUUCUAAGUCGGGGGUGAAAUCCUGGAGCUCAACUCCAGAACUGCCUUCGAUACUGGAAAGCUCGAGUCCGGGAGAGGUGAGUGGAACUGCGAGUGUAGAGGUGAAAUUCGUAGAUAUUCGCAAGAACACCAGUGGCGAAGGCGGCUCACUGGCGCGGUACUGACGCUGAGGUGCGAAAGCGUGGGGAGCAAACAGG